rnacentral:lncRNA from 1 species
CUUUUAGCUCUGCUUUUAUUACUGCUUCCUUUAGUUUCUAUGAAACAGAUUGCUUACCUAAAUCAUUAGUUGAAUGAUUAGUGUUCAAUAUUGCUUUAAUCACCAUUGGAAAAAAAAGAAAUUUGGUGACAGAGCACAAAUAAAUAGAAAACCUGUUUUUCAAUAAAAACCACAAAUACAACUGUGGAAGCACUACUUUAUUUUGUCUCAAAUUUGCUUAAGGAGAAGUCAAAUUAAGGAACUGAGACGUUGGCCUUAGUAGGCUGUAUUUCAUUACUAAUAAAAAACUAAAAAGGGAGUACCAGGAUUUAUUAAAUAAAGCAUUUUGGAAACGGGGAAUGGCGCCAUAAACGUAUAUAUAUUUUUAGUCUAAUUCUAGCCCUGCGUGGAGUUCAGAUACAUGGAGGCACAUCUUUCAUGGCACCGGUGUUAAAAUCGUGGAGUCUUAAUUUUCAGACGUACACCUCCUUGCCUGUUGCUGCCCCACCGACUUGAAAUAACGCUUCCAAAAACACUCCUAUAUUAUGUUGGAUCAUGCUGCUAAUGUAACUUGGGAUACAACUCUUCAUGGUGCUACAAACUUCUCUGUCUCGUUCAGUCGUAUUUUUUUAUCCAUAGGAAAAAGGACUACAUUAGGUGUAAAGGUGUACAAUAUAUUUUUAUACUGUGACUUGAUUUGUCAUUAACAAACUUUUACACCACCCACCACAAUGUAUUCAUGUGCACUUGCAAAAGGAAAUCUUGGACAUGCAAAUGUUACCAGAACAAACCCAGCUUUUGUCCACAAGGUGACUAUAACUCAGAAGGAACAGCGGGCUUUAUAGUAUGGUGUGGAGUGAAGAGCAUGCUGUCUGUCACUAACAGCCCUCUGAAUUUCACAAAAACUGGGAAUCCAUUAGGAAAUGGAUAGCAUCAUGCCUGAACAUAAGCUGGACUGCUGAAAUUGUAUUUUUAGCUGAUGAAAAAGUGUUGGGCUAGUACUCUAAAAAUGUUCUAAUGAUAAAGUUUUGAGUCAAAAUAGAAAAGAAAAAUAUCUGCAUUCCAGGCUGAAUUUUGUAUAUUUUUAUUGCAUUUAAAAUCGCUAUUCUGUGAUAUUGGGAAAUCAAGUGGCUUAUCAUGUAUAUCAUGUACUUAAAAUGUAUUCACAAACUACUGUUGUAUUUGUAUAAAAUAUAGACAAAGACCGUAUUUUCUGUGUGUGUAUAAGCUCUGUAAAAUAGCAAUCACAUUAUGAAGCUGCAGUGACGCUACAGUUUAAACAUCCACAUCCAAAGAAGCAGGCUAUUUAUUGUCCAGUUACCCAGAUAUAAAAUAUUAAUUUGCUGCUAAUUAAACAAUAGUACUGCAGCUUCUUGUGGCCUACAGUGUUAUGUUUGCUGUAAGAAAAAGAUAUGUGAAC